rnacentral:rRNA from 1 species
GACGAACGCUGGCGGCGUGCCUAAUACAUGCAAGUUGAGCGCUGAAGGUUGGUACUUGUACCAACUGGAUGAGCAGCGAACGGGUGAGUAACGCGUGGGGAAUCUGCCUUUGAGCGGGGGACAACAUUUGGAAACGAAUGCUAAUACCGCAUAAAAACUUUAAACACAAGUUUUAAGUUUGAAAGAUGCAAUUGCAUCACUCAAAGAUGAUCCCGCGUUGUAUUAGCUAGUUGGUGAGGUAAAGGCCCACCAAGGCGAUGAUACAUAGCCGACCUGAGAGGGUGAUCGGCCACAUUGGGACUGAGACACGGCCCAAACUCCUACGGGAGGCAGCAGUAGGGAAUCUUCGGCAAUGGACGAAAGUCUGACCGAGCAACGCCGCGUGAGUGAAGAAGGUUUUCGGAUCGUAAAACUCUGUUGGUAGAGAAGAACGUUGGUGAGAGUGGAAAGCUCAUCAAGUGACGGUAACUACACAGAAAGGGACGGCUAACUACGUG